UACGUAGGGACCAAGCGUUGUCCGGAAUCAUUGGGCGUAAAGAGCGUGUAGGCGGCUUGUUAAGUCUUGCGUGAAAUCUCGGGGCUCAACCCCGAGCGGUCGUGAGAAACUGGCAGGCUAGAGUGCGGGAGAGGAGAGUGGAAUUCCUGGUGUAGCGGUGAAAUGCGCAGAUAUCAGGAGGAACACCGGUGGCGAAGGCGGGUCUCUGGGCCGAUACUGACGCUGAGGAGCGAAAGCGUGGGGGAGCGAACAGG
rnacentral:rRNA from 1 species